rnacentral:rRNA from 1 species
UAAGGAAUAUUGCUCAAUGGGAGAAAUCCUGAAGCAGCAACGCCGCGUGGAGGAUGAAGGGUCUAUGACUUGUAAACUCCUGUAAAGAAGGAAAAAAUUCCCAUUUGAUGGGAGAUGAUGGUACUUCUGGAGUAAGCCCCGGCUAACUACGUGCCAGCAGCCGCGGUAAUACGUAGGGGGCAAGCGUUGUCCGGAUUUACUGGGUGUAAAGGGUGCUCAGGCGGAUUUGUAAGUCAGAGGUGAAAUCUUACAGCUUAACUGUGAAACUGCCUUUGAUACUGCAAGCCUAGAGUAUGGAAGAGAGUGAUGGAAUAUCUGGUGUAGCAGUGAAAUGCGUAGAUAUCAGAUAGAACACCAAUGGCGAAGGCAGUAACUUGGUCCAUUACUGACGCUAAAGCACGAAAGCGUGGGUAGCAAACA